CCUACGGGAGGCAGCAGUGGGGAAUUUUGGACAAUGGGCGCAAGCCUGAUCCAGCAAUGCCGCGUGAGUGAAGAAGGCCUUCGGGUUGUAAAGCUCUUUUGUCAGGGAAGAAACGGUGGGAGCUAAUAUCUCCCGCUAAUGACGGUACCUGAAGAAUAAGCACCGGCUAACUACGUGCCAGCAGCCGCGGUAAUACGUAGGGUGCAAGCGUUAAUCGGAAUUACUGGGCGUAAAGCGUGCGCAGGCGGUUUUGUAAGUCUGUCGUGAAAGCCCCGGGCUCAACCUGGGAAUUGCGAUGGAGACUGCAAGGCUUGAAUCUGGCAGAGGGGGGUAGAAUUCCACGUGUAGCAGUGAAAUGCGUAGAGAUGUGGAGGAACACCGAUGGCGAAGGCAGCCCCCUGGGUCAAGAUUGACGCUCAUGCACGAAAGCGUGGGGAGCAAACAGGAUUAGAUACCCUGGUAGUCCACGCCCUAAACGAUGUCUACUAGUUGUCGGGCUUUAAUUAACUUGGUAACGCAGCUAACGCGUGAAGUAGACCGCCUGGGGAGUACGGUCGCAAGNUUAAAACUCAAAUGAAUUGACCGGNNGAGAGNGCGAGACGACGACGAGGGAGGAGG
rnacentral:rRNA from 1 species